AAAUACAGUAUUUCUGCAUAUAGAGGAGGCUUUCAUGGUUGAUUUGGAGAUUGAAUGAUGUGCAAUCAUCUAGACAAAAAGGUACUUAACAGGCACUCCUGAAGUUCUGCUUGGCUGUCCCCUAAUGCAACAGUGGGAUGAAAUUACAGCAUUUCUUUCUUGUCGGAUCCUGCAAAAGCAGCUUGCUGCGUCCCGUUGGGUGUUCUCUUGAUGCUGAUGAACUUUCUGGUGAUCAGGGAUCUGACCUACAAUGUAAUUCAGCGCACACCUUCGGAGCACCCACAGCACCGUGACCCUGCAUCCUGCACUUCAGAGCUUAAUUUCUAAAACGACGUGUGAAAUGAAGCCUGCACAUAGAUUUAUUUAUUUUUAAAGGAGACCUGAUGGUGUGUUCUGUGUUUUAUCCUUCCUGCCAGACCAUGUUUUCACACACUGAGUUUUUGUUGUUUAUUUUCAGACUCUUUAUCUGAGGAAAAAAGUCUGCUUUGUAUCCCUUGUCUGUCAUUUAGCACAAAUUUUAUUCAUACUGGUAACACCAGUAGAUUGCCAGAUGUACUUUUAACUUCUCUGCUUUGGAGAUAAGGCUGAUAUUAAUCCCAUCUUUUUCAGUAACCUACUGAAGUAUUUACCUGCCUGGAGUCUGCUUUAUUUAUUUUUGGAUUCUAAAUUCAAUCUUUUUCAAUAUCCCCUCUGUAUGCWUUUCCUUUCACAUCGUGCAGAUGACUCAUUACUAAUCUCAGGUAGAGAAUGUGUUUCCUGUGCCAGCCACUGAAUAACGACUUAAGAUGAUUUCUUUUCCAUAGAUGAUUUCUAUGAUUAUUAUUUUUAAUCUUAGCUAUGUCUUCUGUCAUGAUGGGCUGCUGGGUACAAGCAAUAGAUCUGUCUGUAGUUUGCACUGAAGCUCUUUUCUGGCCAUUUAAAAGAGCAUUAAAACCGGG